AUUGAACGCUGGCGGCAUGCCUUACACAUGCAAGUCGAACGGCAGCACGGGAGCAAUCCUGGUGGCGAGUGGCGAACGGGUGAGUAAAGUAUCGGAACGUGCCCAGUCGUGGGGGAUAACGUAGCGAAAGCUACGCUAAUACCGCAUACGAUCUAUGGAUGAAAGCGGGGGACCGUAAGGCCUCGCGCGAUUGGAGCGGCCGAUCGCAGAUUAGGUAGUUGGUGGGGUAAAGGCCUACCAAGCCGACGAUCUGUAGCUGGUCUGAGAGGACGACCAGCCACACUGGGACUGAGACACGGCCCAGACUCCUACGGGAGGCAGCAGUGGGGAAUUUUGGACAAUGGGCGCAAGCCUGAUCCAGCAAUGCCGCGUGCAGGAUGAAGGCCUUCGGGUUGUAAACUGCUUUUGUACGGAGCGAAAAGGCUUCCACUAAUACUGGGAGCUCAUGACGGUACCGUAAGAAUAAGCACCGGCUAACUACGUGCCAGCAGCCGCCGCCG
rnacentral:rRNA from 1 species